CACAGCACAAAAUAAAAACAUUUUCCCUGGGUUUUUUUUUUUAUAUAAUUGAAACGAAGAAAUAGAUCUCAAACGCUUUUCUGUUCUUAUUUUUCGCUACGUUUAUUGGCAUCGACCAAAAUGCAUAUGUUGCAUUUUGGGAAAGCGCAGUGGGCCUCCGCUUUGAAAUUACCCUGUGUUGCAUUGGUGAUAUUUCUGGCCUGUCCAGUGAACUCCAUGGAUGUGCUGGUGCCACCACAGAUCUACGCUCUCAAUGGGACAGAUGUCAGAAUCCCCUGUGCGUUCACCUCAUGCUACAAGCUGGACCCCAGCAAGUUUGCCAUGAACUGGACCUAUCAGGAGACAAGCAACAGCACAGAGAAAAUGUUCAUGACCUAUAAGAACAAGAUAACACCCUUGAAGUCAAGCCGAUUUGGAGAUCGAGUCCUAUUUUCUGGAAACCUGGAUAAGAACGACCUGUCCAUCACUAUCUUAGAUGUGCAGCUGACGGACGAGGGCAUCUACAACUGCUAUGUGCGGAACCCUCCAGACCGCAUUCAGGGUCAUGGCACCAUCCAAUUUGUCGUCCUGACCGAAUUACCGCCACCAAGGGAUUCAACUAUUGCUGUCGCCAUCGGGGCAUCUGUGGGGGGAAUUCUAGCUUUGCUCAUUCUGUCCAUGGUGGUGGUGAAAUGUAUUCGCAGACAUAAGAACCAGGAGCUGAUCUCAGAUGAGCAGAAGAUGGAAGAAGAGGGUAAAGCAGAUGGAGAAGGAGGCACAGAAGAAGUAACAAAACAGCCCUAACCUGCCAUCUUAGCCCUGGAGGCCUAACAGAUGGUGGAGCUCCAUCCUACACAUUCUGAAAUGUAUGCCUCCUGCCUGAAGAUAUGUAAAACGUGUUUGACUCUUCAUCCUAUAACUCUCAUUCAACAUUCCUCGGUUUUCUCGUGUAGCAGUCAAACAUGUCAUGUUAGGAAGAUCUCCACCACAGUGCCAUGGUGUCCAGUUACCGGUUUCAAACUGCCUCUUCAACUCAGUAUGACAGGUUAAGGUUAUAACAACUUCCUGCAGAACUCUUCAUUUGGACCACGUUUUUUCAAAGUCAAGUAAUGUAUUUUUUCUUCAACUACUGCCAAUAUUAGCACUAAUAAUAUUAGCCAUCCAGUAUUUCUGCUGAGAAUUUUCUAAAGAGAUUAAUUUUAAAUUAUACAAAGUCCUCCUUAUAACUGCCAAAGUGUUUUUACCCUUAUGGUGUUUAUACGUUUUGACAGUUUCUUGAGAAAUCACUGCCCUCAACAUCCUCUCAAGUGGAUGUAGAAACAUAAUGUGUGUAUGUGUGUUUGUGUGUGUGCCUUCUCAUUGUGCCAAUUUGCUCCUAUUGAGUUUGAAAAGUUUAUGCUGUUUUUACUAUCCAGUGUAGGUAGAACAGCAGAAAAUUAGGCAGGACCAUGACUAUACAUGAGUGUUCAAAAUGUAUAAUUUGCUAGCUUACAGCACAUAACAUCUCCAAAACAUGUACAAUCAUUGCAUGACAAUUUUCGUAAGCAUGAUAAACACAAUUAGCACAAAAAAAUCAUCAGUUUGCACAAGCAUCUGGCACAUUCCACAAAUAGGGUAUGCUUUGCUGUCCCAUGACAUUUUUUAAAAGCCUUAGACGCACAAAUCCCAUGUUGUCUCUUGACUUAUUAGAUACUGUACAGUGUGUAUAGAAAAUAAUCAUCCGCCUUUAAAAUAAUUACAUUUAGAUUUU